GGAAUGGGGAGUGGUGAAUGUGGAACGGCGGUGAUAGAUCCCGAAAGAAGAUAACUGCUUGUUUUCUUCACCGCCACCAGUCUACCUACCUGCUCUCUGCACACUCGGCAGAGCGCGGCAGGGCACCCCACGGAGCUGCACUAGUCACAUCCGGGCCCCACGCCGGUCGACGGCCGAUGCGAUGGAGGCACUACUCCGAGCUGGACUGGUGGCCGGCUCGGAGCUGGUGGAUGUCGACCGCGGAGCGGCGAUCUACUCCUUCCGCCGGGCCCGGCAGCAGGAGCUCCAGAUGUCCUUGUGCCACCCGUCCGGCCAGGCCUCCAUCCACCUUGUAGAGGCGGAGCGGGAGACGGUGAAGCUCACGGCUCCGUUGGAACAUGGCCGCUGGGAGGCCUGCGGCGCGGACGACGGAUGCGGCAGUUGGUCAAGACACGGCAGCCUACUCGAGGUGCUUCUCGCCUGGAGGACGCAGGCGAAUCGCGUUAUCCGAGCUGUGCCUCGUCAUGGUGCGAUGAGCCUUAAUAGACUAAUGCAUAUUCUUCCUUUGGUUGUAAUUCAUUUGCUGCUGCCCGCUGGGCUAAGGAGUAACUCUGGGCGCCUACUUUGGGCAGACGCUCGUCCAGUGCCGCCCUUCGUUUGCCGCACAUAUCUUUAUUUAUUCUUUGUUACAAUUCCGUCUUUGGUCAUUUUUUUUACCAUGGGGGCACUUGAAAGUUUUGUUUUCAAAUCUGUGGACAUUGAACCUGGAAUCGGUUUUUUGUCGGAUUUCGGUUUUGUUUUUGCACUGUGGAAAUAUCUCGUUCAAUAUUUUUUAAGAUAGGGCGUGCUACAACUUUUGUCUCAUUACUCCUCGGUGCAUCUAAAUUCUAAAGUACUAUAAUGUGCAUCUCAAGUGUUUGGUGCUGUACUGUUAUUACUUAUGGUUAAUCCAGUGCUGUACUGUUAUUAUUUAUGGUUAAUCCAGUUUUUAUUCGAUUGAAUCGUUGUGUGUAAUGUGCAUGACAUCCGCGUACCGCCUGUAGCAGUGUUAUAUAUUUUCAUUUAUGCUGGAAAAUAAUAACUUUCUUGUUCA